rnacentral:rRNA from 1 species
UCCUGGCUCAGGAUGAACGCUGGCGGCGUGCCUAAUACAUGCAAGUCGAACGCUUUGUGGUUCAACUGAUUUGAAGAGCUUGCUCAGAUAUGACGAUGGACAUUGCAAAGAGUGGCGAACGGGUGAGUAACACGUGGGAAACCUACCUCUUAGCAGGGGAUAACAUUUGGAAACAGAUGCUAAUACCGUAUAACAAUGACAACCGCAUGGUUGUUAUUUAAAAGAUGGUUCUGCUAUCACUAAGAGAUGGUCCCGCGGUGCAUUAGCUAGUUGGUAAGGUAAUGGCUUACCAAGGCGAUGAUGCAUAGCCGAGUUGAGAGACUGAUCGGCCACAUUGGGACUGAGACACGGCCCAAACUCCUACGGGAGGCAGCAGUAGGGAAUCUUCCACAAUGGGCGAAAGCCUGAUGGAGCAACGCCGCGUGUGUGAUGAAGGGUUUCGGCUCGUAAAACACUGUUGUAAGAGAAGAAUGACAUUGAGAGUAACUGUUCAAUGUGUGACGGUAUCUUACCAGAAAGGAACGGCUAAAUACGUGCCAGCAGCCGCGGUAAUACGUAUGUUCCAAGCGUUAUCCGGAUUUAUUGGGCGUAAAGCGAGCGCAGACGGUUAUUUAAGUCUGAAGUGAAAGCCCUCAGCUCAACUGAGGAAUUGCUUUGGAAACUGGAUGACUUGAGUGCAGUAGAGGAAAGUGGAACUCCAUGUGUAGCGGUGAAAUGCGUAGAUAUAUGGAAGAACACCAGUGGCGAAGGCGGCUUUCUGGACUGUAACUGACGUUGAGGCUCGAAAGUGUGGGUAGCAAACAGGAUUAGAUACCCUGGUAGUCCACACC